rnacentral:rRNA from 1 species
UACGUAGGCAGCAAGCGUUGUUCGGAAUUACUGGGCGUAAAGAGUGUGUAGGCGGUGUUCUAAGUUUGUCGUGAAAUCUCCCGGCUUAACUGGGAGGGUGCGGCGAAAACUGGAAUGCUAGAGGAUGGGAGAGGUAAGCGGAAUUCCUGGUGUAGCGGUGAAAUUCGUAGAUAUUCGGAAGAACACCAGUGGCGAAGGCGACUUACUGGACACAUACUGACGCUGAGGUGCGAAAGCGUGGGGAGCAAACAGG